AAAUCUGUCUGGAAGCAAACUAU
rnacentral:snRNA from 1 species